GGUUGGCCCAAGGAUAAUGGUGUUUACAACUAAUUGAUCACAACCAGAUGCAGAUUUCUUUGUUCCUUCUCCACUCCCACUACUUCACUUGAACAGCUAUC
rnacentral:Y_RNA from 1 species